rnacentral:tRNA from 2 species
GGCGGGGCAUGGAAGGCCCCGGCUAUGAUUCUCGCGGCUUAGUUUUGAGCCGUUUGGGAUCAUAACCCAGAGGUCCAUGGUUCAAAUCCAUGCCCCGCUACCA